GAGUUUGAUCCUGGCUCAGAUUGAACGCUGGCGGCAUGCCUUACACAUGCAAGUCGAACGGCAGCACGGGAGCUUGCUCCUGGUGGCGAGUGGCGAACGGGUGAGUAAUGCAUCGGAACGUAUCCUGGAGUGGGGGAUAGCGUAGCGAAAGUUACGCUAAUACCGCAUAUUCUGUGAGCAGGAAAGCGGGGGACCUUCGGGCCUCGCGCUCUUGGAGCGGCCGAUGUCGGAUUAGCUAGUCGGUGAGGUAAAGGCUCACCAAGGCGACGAUCCGUAGCAGGUCUGAGAGGAUGAUCUGCCACACUGGAACUGAGACACGGUCCAGACUCCUACGGGAGGCAGGCAGUGGGGAAUUUUGGACAAUGGGGGCAACCCUGAUCCAGCCAUGCCGCGUGAGUGAAGAAGGCCUCGGUUGUAAGG
rnacentral:rRNA from 1 species